rnacentral:sRNA from 1 species
CCCGUCACACCAUGGGAGUCUGCAAUGCCCAAAGCCGGCGUUCUAACCUUCGGGAAGGAGCCGUCUAAGGCAGGGCAGAUGACUGGGGUGAAGUCGUAACAAGGUAGCCGUAGGAGAACCUGCGGCUGGAUCACCUCCUUUCUAAGGAAGCGAAGGAUAUGGAGAGUAGAAAUACUAAGAGAAGUAUCCAGAGCAAGCGGAAGCACACUAAGAAACUUUGUUUAGUUUUGAGGGUAGUACCUCAAAAGAGUUAGUACAUUGAAAACUGAAUAUAAUCCAAGCAAAAAACCGAGACAAUCAAAGAGAACAGAUUGUAGAGCGACCGAGAAGAGAAUUCUUGGGUAAGGUCAAGUAGAAAAGGGCGCACGGUGAAUGCCUAGGCACUAACAGCCGAUGAAGGACGUGACGAACUACGAAAAGCUUCGGGGAGCGGUAAGUACGCAGUGAUCCGGAGAUGUCCGAAUGGGGGAACCCAAUGCAGCGAUGCAUUAUUGGUUGAUGAAUAGAUAGUCAAUCAAAGGAAGACGCAGUGAACUGAAACAUCUAAGUAGCUGCAGGAAGAGAAAGAAAAAUCGAUUUCCUUAGUAGCGGCGAGCGAAGAGGAAAGAGCCCAAACCAAGUGAUUUAUCAUUUGGGGUUGUAGGACUGCAAAGUGGUAGCGUAAGCGAUAG